UGUCAUACGAAGCUGACGUCUUAAACAAGAAUGUCAACAAAAUAGAUUUUGUCUCUCCAUUGGCUGAUUGUUCAGUUGUUCUGCAGUAGGGGUGGCCUUGAAGGUGCCAUUAAAAUGAUAAUUGGGACAAAAACUGACUUACUGGUAGUAUUUCUAUGUAUGAAAUUGUUAUUAAAUUCUACAUAUCCAAUGAUUCAUUCAAGUAUUAUUAUCAUUUGUUAUCUAUGAUAUUGGACAGUAUUCAGUGGCAAGCUAGCCAUGACAAAUGGUCAUGGUAUGCUAAUAACCUGCAUCUAUUUGAAUAAUGC